GCUUGAGUAGCUCAAUUGGUAGAGCUUCAGACUUUUAAUCUGAGGGUCCAGGGUUCGAGCCCCUGUUCAAGUG
rnacentral:tRNA from 1 species